rnacentral:rRNA from 1 species
AGAGUUUGAUCAUGGCUCAGGAUGAACGCUAGCGGCAGGCUUAACACAUGCAAGUCGAACGGUAACAUUGGUGCUUGCACCAGAUGACGAGUGGCGCACGGGUGCGUAACGCGCAUGCAAUCUACCUUUUACUGAAGAAUAGCCCAGAGAAAUUUGGAAUAAUCCUUCAUAAUAUCAUUUAUCAGCAUUGAUAUUUGAUUAAAGCUCCGGCGGUAAAAGAUGAGCAUGCGUCCUAUUAGUUUGUUGGUGAGGUAACGGCUCACCAAGACUACGAUAGGUAGGGGCCCUGAGAGGGGGAUCCCCCACACUGGUACUGAGACACGGACCAGACUCCUACGGGAGGCAGCAGUGAGGAAUAUUGGACAAUGGAGGCAACUCUGAUCCAGCCAUGCCGCGUGCAGGAUGACUGCCCUAUGGGUUGUAAACUGCUUUUAUAUAAGAAGAAACACUCCCACGUGUGGGGGCUUGACGGUACUAUAUGAAUAAGGAUCGGCUAACUCCGUGCCAGCAGCCGCGGUAAUACGGAGGAUCCAAGCGUUAUCCGGAAUCAUUGGGUUUAAAGGGUCCGCAGGCGGCCUGUUAAGUCAGAGGUGAAAGCCAACAGCUCAACUGUUGAACUGCCUUUGAUACUGAUAGGCUUGAGUUAUUGUGAAGUGGUUAGAAUGUGUGGUGUAGCGGUGAAAUGCUUAGAUAUCACACAGAAUACCCAUUGCGAAGGCAGAUCACUAACAAUAUACUGACGCUCAUGGACGAAAGCGUGGGGAGCGAACGGGAUUAGAUACCCCGGUAGUCCACGCCGUAAACGAUGGAUACUAACUGUUCGUCCCGCUUGCGGGAUGAGUGGUCAAGCGAAAGUGA